GACGAACGCUGGCGGCGUGCUUAACACAUGCAAGUCGAGCGGAAAGGCCCUUCGGGGUACUCGAGCGGCGAACGGGUGAGUAACACGUGAGUAACCUGCCCCAGACUUUGGGAUAACCCUCGGAAACGGGGGCUAAUACCGGAUACGACACAGCUUCGCAUGGGGUCUGUGUGGAAAGUUUUUCGGUUUGGGAUGGGCUCGCGGCCUAUCAGCUUGUUGGUGGGGUGAUGGCCUACCAAGGCGACGACGGGUAGCCGGCCUGAGAGGGCGACCGGCCACACUGGGACUGAGACACGGCCCAGACUCCUAAGGGAGGCAGCAGGGGGGAAUAUUGAACAAGGGGCGGAAGCCUGAUGCAGAGACGCCGCGUGAGGGAUGACGGCCUUAGGGUUGUAAACCUAUUUCAGAAGGGACGAAGCGUAAGUGACGGUACCUGCAGAAGAAGCGCCGGCCAAAUACGUG
rnacentral:rRNA from 1 species